rnacentral:rRNA from 1 species
CCAGGUUGAUUCUGCCUGACGUAGACGCUACUCCCUAAGAUUAACCCAUGCAUGUUAUUGAUUUUUGAAAAAUGGACUGCUCAGUAAUACUCACUUUAUUUUAUGUAUACUUAUUAUAACUACGUUAAAGUGUAGAUAAAAUGUAUACAGUAAGAGUGAGACCUAUCAGCUAGUUGUUAAGGUAAUGGCUUAACAAGGCAGUGACGGGUAACGGUAUUACUUUGUAAUAUUCCGGAGAAGGAGCCUGAGAGACGGCUACUAAGUCUAAGGAUUGCAGCAGGGGCGAAACUUGACCUAUGGAUUUUAUCUGAGGCAGUUAUGGGAAGUAAUAUUAUAUUGUUUCAUAUUUUAAAAGUAUAUGAGGUGAUUAAUUGGAGGGCAAAUCAAGUGCCAGCAGCCGCGGUAAUACUUGUUCCAAGAGUGUGUAUGAUGAUUGAUGCAGUUAAAAAGUCCGUAGUUUAUUUUUAAGAAGCAAUAUGAGGUGUACUGGAUAGUUGGGAGAGAGAUGAAAUGUGACGACCCUGACUGGACGAACA